UCCAGAAGGGGAAAGCCACAGUGAGCUGGCUGGAUGGCCAAGCCAUGAAGCAGGAGCAGCUGAGUCCUGAGAGAGCAAGAUGGAGAGUGACAAAGUGCAACCACAGGAAGGGACACCAGCCUGGCAGAGCUAAGCUCCAUAUGCGGCCAGAAGGAGGCAAAGGACAAUGAAAGUACAAUUCAGUAUAAGACAAACAAAACAAUCAAGCUAACAAGCAAGGAGGAAGGACCUUCAUGAGCUCGCCAAGGAUCUGAAUCUGCACCCCCAGGAAGUCUUCCUGGCUCUUGAUCCAAAGAUAAUGCACUUUGGAAAAUAUAAGACAUUGUAAUUAUCUAUCACUUAAGGGACAAAAGAGGCCAGAGCUCUUGGAAUCUGUGCAAGGUGGAUCCGGGAACUGUCUAUAGGCAGCAAACAGUGUCCAGUGACAUGGACCAGACACCACAAAGAGACGUUUUCAGGAACUCAAGAAAUGGGGUUCACUGGUUGUUACCUGCAACGCAAGGUAAAGACUGGCAGAAUCUGGAGGAAUUUGCUGG